rnacentral:rRNA from 1 species
UCAGGCCUAACACAUGCAAGUCGUACGAAAGUUUUUAACUUUAGUGGCGGACGGGUGAGUAACACGUGAGAAUUUGCCUUUAGGAGGGGGAUAACAAUUGGAAACGAAUGCUAAUACCCCAUAUGCUUUCGAGUGAAAUGGAUUUAUAUUUAUCCGCCUAGAGAGAAGCUCGCGGCUGAUUAGCUUGUUGGUAAGGUAAGAGCUUACCAAGGCGACGAUCAGUAUCUGGUUUGAGAGGACGAUCAGACACACUGGAACUGAGACACGAUCCAGACUCCUACGGGAGGCAGCAGUGGGGAAUUUCCCGCAAUGGGCGAAAGCCUGACGGAGCAAUACCGCGUGAGGGAAGACUGCCUAUGGGUUGUAAACCUCUUUUUUCAGGGAGGAAUCAAAUGACGUGUACCUGAAGAAUAAGCAUCGGCUAACUCCGUGCCAGCAGCCGCGGUAAGACGGAGGAUGCAAGUGUUAUCCGGAAUCACUGGGCGUAAAGCGUCUGUAGGUGGUUUAAUAAGUCAACUGUUAAAUCUUGAGGCUCAACUUCAAAAUCGCAGUCGAAACUAUUAGACUAGAGUAUAGUAGAGGUAAAGGGAAUUUCCAGUGGAGCGGUGAAAUGCGUAGAUAUUGGAAAGAACACCGAUGGCGAAAGCACUUUACUGGGCUAUUACUAACACUCAGAGACGAAAGCUAGGGUAGCAAAUGG